AUUGAACGCUGGCGGCAUGCCUUACACAUGCAAGUCGAACGGUAACGGGCCUUCGGGUGCCGACGAGUGGCGAACGGGUGAGUAAUACAUCGGAACGUGCCCGAUCGUGGGGGAUAACGAGGCGAAAGCUUUGCUAAUACCGCAUACGAUCUACGGAUGAAAGCAGGGGACCGCAGGCCUUGCGCGGACGGAGCGGCCGAUGGCAGAUUAGGUAGUUGGUGGGAUAAAAGCUUACCAAGCCGACGAUCUGUAGCUGGUCUGAGAGGAUGAUCAGCCACACUGGGACUGAGACACGGCCCAGACUCCUACGGGAGGCAGCAGUGGGGAAUUUUGGACAAUGGGCGCAAGCCUGAUCCAGCCAUGCCGCGUGCAGGAUGAAGGCCUUCGGGUUGUAAACUGCUUUUGUACGGAACGAAAAGCCUUCUUUUAAUACAGGAGGGUCAUGACGGUACCGUAAGAAUAAGCACCGGCUAACUACGUG
rnacentral:rRNA from 1 species